rnacentral:rRNA from 1 species
UACGAAGGGUGCAAGCGUUAAUCGGAAUUACUGGGCGUAAAGCGUGCGUAGGCGGUUCGUUAAGUCUGUCGUGAAAGCCCUGGGCUCAACCUGGGAAUGGCGAUGGAUACUGGCGGGCUAGAGUGUGAUAGAGGAUGGCGGAAUUCCCGGUGUAGCGGUGAAAUGCGUAGAGAUCGGGAGGAACAUCCGUGGCGAAGGCGGCCAUCUGGAUCAACACUGACGCUGAGGCACGAAAGCGUGGGGAGCAAACAGG